GUUAGGAAUCUUCCACAAUGGGGGCAACCCUGAUGGAGCAACACCGCGUGCUGGAUGAAGGCCUUCGGGUCGUAAACAGCUUUUGUAUACGAAGAAUAUGACGGUAAUAUACGAAUAAGGGUCGGCUAACUACGUGCCAGCAGCCGCGGUCAUACGUAGGACCCAAGCGUUAUCCGGAGUGACUGGGCGUAAAGAGUUGCGUAGGCGGCUUAUUAAGCGAGUAGUGAAGUCUGGUGGCUCAACCAUCAACACAUUGCUCGAACUGAUAGGCUUGAGAAUGGUAGAGGUAGUUGGAAGUUAUUGUGUAGGAGUGAAAUCCGUAGAUAUAAGAAGGAACACCAAUGGCGUAGGCAGACUACUGGACCAUUUCUGACGCUGAGGCACGAAAGCGUGGGGAGCGAACCGGAUUAGAAACCCUAGUAGUCC
rnacentral:rRNA from 1 species